CACAGCAGACCCCUUUUCUAACUCCUCUGUUCCAUUUCCCAGCUCCAGUCUUUUUCAUAACAUGUGUUCAUCCCCAGGGAACUGUUCUCUUUAGUCUCUAUGAUACUCAGGUUUUACCUGUGCCCCCUUUAUCCUUGAAACCAGUGACAGGCCCCACCAAUUCCUCUGUCUGGGAAGUCUGACAUACUUCCUGGAAGUUUUGCUUCCACCCAGACAUUCCUACUCUGAGUUACAUGUGUCCAUGAUCCACUUAUCUCAGAAUAUGUUUGCCUUAAGUCAGAUGGAGAGGUGUAAGUUCUUUUGCAAAUUACUUACAUUUGUGAAUGUUGAAGAGGCUCAGACUCACAAGCUGGAGAAGACCUGCCUCCAGUGUGCCACUGAGUAAAGCUUACCUUGGAGAAAGAACCAGCUCUCUCACAGCCUAGGAGCUUCUCCUCCCUGCCAGCACAAAGAGAACCUGAAGAGGGACAGUAUGACUCAGGAACAGUGCACUGCAGAACGCUGGUAAGCAAGCACAAAACAAGACAAGACAAAGGACAGCUCCAGCCUGGGUCUGAACAGCCAAAAUACCUGGAGACCAUAGAGGUUCUACAAGGAAAAUCAAAUUGCAAGUAUUAACUAAUUGGUCCCUCCAGUUUCUUGGGAAUUCUACAACCACACUAGGACACGAGUUUGAGCCCAGCCUGACAGGUGCUGGAAAACAGGAAGAAGACACACACUGCCCAAUACAAGCAGAGACAAGAAGAAACCCAAGCAAGGAUUGUGAACGAAAAGCAUCUCCUAACUCAAAAUGUAGUCUGAAUAGUCACAUUUUACUAAGAGAGAGACUAACACUUUGGUUGAGAUUGUUAAGGGCUUCUUAAUAUCUGAAAGCAAGCAUUUUCAAUGUUUACAUGUUAUAUAAAAAUUAUGGGCAAUAAAGCAAGAAAAUGAAGUCAAGUUAAACAGGCCAGAAAGUGAAAAAUAAUCAGGCAAAAAUGUUUUUGCCUGAUUAUUUGCAUAUUACAUGACUGCAUCCCAAACCCCUAAAACUAUAAGUAUCAGCAAAGUUGCACAAUUUGAGAUCAUAUGCAAAAAUCAUUCACAUUUCAAUACACUAACAAGGAAAAUAUGGAAAGUAAAAGCACAAUACUAUUUACAAAUCCUUCAAGGAAAAUUAAAUUCUUAGAUAUACAUUGUAAAAGGUACUGAUCUGUAAGAUAAAAAUUUCAAAAUUCAGAUUAAAAAAAAUCAGUAACCUAAAUAGACACACCAUGUUCAUGGAUUGGAAGACUCAACAUAGUAAAGAUGUCAACAAAUUCAUAACAAGUAAACUAUAACCUUAUGUAGAAAUAAUUACACCAGGACAAAGCAUACAUAGGCAAGGCUAGUUUUAACAUAUUAAAAAAUCAGUCAUGGUAAUCUACCUCCAGAAUAGGCCCAGGCAGAAAAAUCACAUGAUCAUAUCAUUGUAUUCAAAUAAAAUUCUGGCAAAGUCUGACAACCAUUCACUCAUUUGAGGAAGGCAAUGUGUAAAUAAAGAUCAAAAUAAAAGAUGGUUAGAAGGGAACAGGAUGAUAAAUCUUUUGAAAAUAGGAAGGGACCCAAGAGACC